CUUAGAAGAGUAGUUCUCUAUCCACAGAAUAGAUACAGCAUGGGCAGCAGCAUUGCGAGCUUCCCCAGGUUGCUAAUGUGCAUCAGUCCUGAGCUGGGGCGGGGCCAUCUCUUUUGUGUGAGAAGACAGUUCAUUAUCUCUGCAUCCUUGACCUUG
rnacentral:sRNA from 1 species